GCUACACAUGCAAGUCGAGCGCGCCCUUCGGGGUGAGCGGCGGACGGGUUAGUAACGCGUGGGAAUAUACCCGCGUAUGCGGAAUAGCCUCUGGAAACGGUGAGUAAUACCGUAUACGCCCUUCGGGGGAAAGAUUUAUCGGAGAAGGAUUAGCCCGCGUUAGAUUAGAUAGUUGGUGGGGUAAUGGCCUACCAAGUCUACGAUCUAUAGCUGGUUUUAGAGGAUGAUCAGCCACACUGGGACUGAGACACGGCCCAGACUCCUACGGGAGGCAGCAGUGGGGAAUCUUAGACAAUGGGCGCAAGCCUGAA
rnacentral:rRNA from 1 species